rnacentral:ncRNA from 1 species
AGAUCCUAAUUGAAGUAGCGAUUAUCCAGGCUUGUAUCCUGGGGGCUGAUGAGGAGUAGGGUUUCUGGACAACUUAAACAGAUCCAGAGUUAGUCGAUCCUAAUCUCAAUAAUGGGAGAAAGGGAGUACAGUUGAUAUUCUGUAACUGACAACAGUUCGCGGCAACGCAUACUAUUUUUCUCCGCCAAUCUUAUACCGUUGGUAGGGAUCUCUUUCCUACAUGACAGUACUAAUACCCAGGGAAACUGGUCAUCAGGCGAACUGCGGCGUUCUGCUGGCAAAACAUAGCUUCGGUUAUGUCAAUGGCUAUUGGAUUGGUCCAUGAAGCGAAAAAUAGUUUACUGUGUCACUCGUACCGAUAACCGCAUCAGGUCUUCUAGGUAAGUAGCCUAUGGCCAUUGAGGCAUGAUAGUUCAGGGAAUUCGGCCAAUUAGAGCUGUAACUUCGGGAUAAAGCUUGGCUCUGAUGAAAAUCAGAACCGAUUGUUACGCGGAGAGCCCAACUGUUUAAUAAAAACGUAGUGUCGCGCUGUGGUAGUAUAGCCAGUGAACGCGACAUGAAUCCUGCUCAGUGCUGUGUCUGUUAAUAUGGUUCAAGCCAACGAAGCACCGGUAAAUAGCUGGGGUAACUAUGACUCUUAUCAAAGUAGCGAAAUACCUCGUCACUUAAUUAGUGACCUGCAUGAACGGAGCUAUGAGGUUCUCACUGUCCCAAACUGUCUCUCAGCGAACCAACUGUAGUGGGAACAGGUCACAUAGAUAUCCAGCGGGGAAAGAAGACCCUGUAGAGCUUCACUUUGGUCUAGUCUUGUAUAGUUCCUGCGGGGGUGUAGACUAGGUGGGAGAGCAAUCGAUUCUGAAAAACCACUACCCUGUUUGGAAUUAUGCUUACCUAUCACAAGGAAUAGGACUAGAUAGAAA